UGAGUACGAGAUGCUACGGCAUCGAAGCAGUCUAUGUCAUACUUCCGAGAAAAGCUUGCACUUCAUAAACAAAGAAUGCCUGUACCAUAACCGACACAGGUGGGUAGGUAGAGUAUACUAAGGGGCGCGAGAUAACUCUCUCUAAGGAACUCGGCAAAAUGACUCCGUAACUUCGGGAGAAGGAGUGCCUUAUUUAUAAGGUUGCAAUAACAAGAUCCAAGCAACUGUUUAUCAAAAACACAGGUCUCCGCUAAGUCGUAAGACGAUGUAUGGGGGCUGACGCCUGCCCAGUGCCAGAAGGUUAAAGAAGUUGGUUAGUGUAUGCGAAGCUGAUGACUGAAGCCCUGGUGAACGGCGGCCGUAACAAUAACGGUCCUAAGGUAGCGAAAUUCCUUGUCGGGUAAGUUCCGACCCGCACGAAAGGCGUAAUGAUUUGGAUACUGUCUCGGAGAGAGGCUCGGUGAAAUAGACUUGUCUGUGAAGAUGCGGACUACCUGCACCAGGACAGAAAGACCCUAUGAAGCUUUACUGUAACUUGAAAUUGGAAUUGGACUUUGCUUGCGCAGUAUAGGUGGGAAGCGUUGAAAAUAUUCUUGCGGGAGUAUUGGAGCUAUCAGUGAGAUACCACUCUUGUAAUGUUAGAUUUCUAACUUUGAACCAUAAUCUGGUCAAAGAACAGUUUCAGGUGGGCAGUUUGACUGGGGCGGUCGCCUCCCAAAUGGUAACGGAGGCGUACAAAGGUUUCCUCUGAACAGAUAGAAAUCGUAUCUAGAGUGUAAAGGCAUAAGGAAGCUUGACUGUGAGACCUACAAGUCGAGCAGGGACGAAAGUCGGUCUUAGUGAUCUGACGGUACUGAGUGGAAAGGCCGUCACUCAACGGAUAAAAGUUACUCUAAGGAUAACAGGCUGAUCUCCCCCAAGAGUUCACAUCGACGGGGAGGUUUGGCACCUCGAUGUCGGCUCAUCGCAUCCUGGGGCGGUAGUACGUCCCAAGGGUUGGGCUGUUCGCCCAUGAAAGCGGUACGCGAGCUGGGUUCAGAACGUCGUGAGACAGUUCGGUCCAUAUCCGGUGUAGGCGCUAGAAUAUUGAGAGGAGCCUUCUUUAGUACGAGAGGACCGAGAAGGACACACCGCUGGUGUACCAGUUAUCGUGCCAACGGUAAACGCUGGGUAGCUAUGUGUGGAGUGGAUAACCGCUGAAAGCAUCUAAGUGGGAAGCCCACCUCGAGAUGAGUAUUCUC
rnacentral:rRNA from 1 species